rnacentral:rRNA from 1 species
AGCGAACGCUGGCGGCAGGCCUAAUACAUGCAAGUCGAACGGCCCUUCGGGGCAGUGGCGGACGGGUGAGUAACACGUGGGAACGUGCCCUUUGGUACGGAACAACUGAGGGAAACUUCAGCUAAUACCGUAUGAGCCCUACGGGGGAAAGAUUUAUCGCCAUUGGAGCGGCCCGCGUUGGAUUAGCUAGUUGGUGGGGUAAAGGCCCACCAAGGCUACGACCCAUAGCUGGUCUGAGAGGAUGAUCAGCCACACUGGGACUGAGACACGGCCCAGACUCCUACGGGAGGCAGCAGUAGGGAAUCUUGCGCAAUGGGCGAAAGCCUGACGCAGCCAUGCCGCGUGAAUGAUGAAGGUCUUAGGAUUGUAAAAUUCUUUCACCGGGGAAGAUAAUGACGGUACCCGGAGAAGAAGCCCCGGCUAACUUCGUGCCAGCAGCCGCAGUAAUAC